GCCUAAUACAUGCAAGUCGAGCGAACGGACGAGAAGCUUGCUUCUCUGAUGUUAGCGGCGGACGGGUGAGUAACACGUGGAUAACCUACCUAUAAGACUGGGAUAACUUCGGGAAACCGGAGCUAAUACCGGAUAAUAUUUUGAACCGCAUGGUUCAAAAGUGAAAGACGGUCUUGCUGUCACUUAUAGAUGGAUCCGCGCUGCAUUAGCUAGUUGGUAAGGUAACGGCUUACCAAGGCAACGAUGCAUAGCCGACCUGAGAGGGUGAUCGGCCACACUGGAACUGAGACACGGUCCAGACUCCUACGGGAGGCAGCAGUAGGGAAUCUUCCGCAAUGGGCGAAAGCCUGACGGAGCAACGCCGCGUGAGUGAUGAAGGUCUUCGGAUCGUAAAACUCUGUUAUUAGGGAAGAACAUAUGUGUAAGUAACUGUGCACAUCUUGACGGUACCUAAUCAGAAAGCCACGGCUAACUACGUGCCAGCAGCCGCGGUAAUACGUAGGUGGCAAGCGUUAUCCGGAAUUAUUGGGCGUAAAGCGCGCGUAGGCGGUUUUUUAAGUCUGAUGUGAAAGCCCACGGCUCAACCGUGGAGGGUCAUUGGAAACUGGAAAACUUGAGUGCAGAAGAAGAAAGUGGAAUUCCAUGUGUAGCGGUGAAAUGCGCAGAGAUAUGGAGGAACACCAGUGGCGAAGGCGACUUUCUGGUCUGUAACUGACGCUGAUGUGCGAAAGCGUGGGGAUCAAACAGGAUUAGAUACCCUGGUAGUCCACGCCGUAAACGAUGAGUGCUAAGUGUUAGGGGGUUUCCGCCCCUUAGUGCUGCAGCUAACGCAUUAAGCACUCCGCCUGGGGAGUACGACCGCAAGGUUGAAACUCAAAGGAAUUGACGGGGACCCGCACAAGCGGUGGAGCAUGUGGUUUAAUUCGAAGCAACGCGAAGAACCUUACCAAAUCUUGACAUCCUUUGACAACUCUAGAGAUAGAGCCUUCCCCUUCGGGGGACAAAGUGACAGGUGGUGCAUGGUUGUCGUCAGCUCGUGUCGUGAGAUGUUGGGUUAAGUCCCGCAACGAGCGCAACCCUUAAGCUUAGUUGCCAUCAUUAAGUUGGGCACUCUAAGUUGACUGCCGGUGACAAACCGGAGGAAGGUGGGGAUGACGUCAAAUCAUCAUGCCCCUUAUGAUUUGGGCUACACACGUGCUACAAUGGACAAUACAAAGGGCAGCGAAACCGCGAGGUCAAGCAAAUCCCAUAAAGUUGUUCUCAGUUCGGAUUGUAGUCUGCAACUCGACUACAUGAAGCUGGAAUCGCUAGUAAUCGUAGAUCAGCAUGCUACGGUGAAUACGUUCCCGGGUCUUGUACACACCGCCCGUCACACCACGAGAGUUUGUAACACCCGAAGCCGGUGGAGUAACCUUUUAGGAGCUAGCCGUCGAAGGUGGGACAAAUGAUUGGGGUGAAGUC
rnacentral:rRNA from 1 species